GCAGUCUGCAACUCGACUGCAUGAAGCCGGAAUCGCUAGUAAUCGCGGAUCAGAAUGCCGCGGUGAAUACGUUCCCGGGUCUUGUACACACCGCCCGUCACACCAUGGGAGUCGGAAAUGCCCGAAGCCGGUGGCCUAACCGAUAAGGGAGGAGCCGUCGAAGGCAGGUCUGAUGACUGGGGUGAAGUCGUAACAAGGUACC
rnacentral:rRNA from 1 species